UACGUAGGGGGCAAGCGUUGUCCGGAUUUAUUGGGCGUAAAGAGCGUGUAGGCGGUUUGGUAGGUCCGCUGUGAAAACUCGAGCUCAACCUCGAGACGCCGGUGGAAACCAUCAGACUAGAGUCCGGAAGAGGAGAGUGGAAUUCCUGGUGUAGCGGCGAAAUGCGCAGAUAUCAGGAAGAACACCCGUGGCUAAGGCGGCUCUCUAGUACGGUACUGACGCUGAGACGCGAAAGCGUGGGGAGCGAACAGG
rnacentral:rRNA from 1 species